CGGAUGGAGCUCCAAGGCUGUGGGCAGCAUUGUGUGAAACUCUGCUUGGAACAGAAGUAAAAGGAACCAGGGGUCUUUACAGAACAUAAAGGCUGGAGCAAGAAAUAUACAAGAGGAGCCUGGAGCAUCUCGUAGCACCAGAAAAUAGGGAAGUGCUCAACAAAUAUAAAAAACCCCACAGAAAAGACCAUAUUUUUCUUAGAGCCCUGAGGUGACUGAAGGAAGAGCACCCAGGUAGAGGCUUCCUCAGAAUGGGCUGAGAUCCGGGCCUCUUGUCUUCACACCCUUGUGCAGCCCUGUGGAUCCAACUGAACCAUUUGAAGGGAUGGCGGGUGAGUUCUGAGCCUAAGGCAUGAAAGGCAUUGCAACUCCCACCUUAUUCUCUUGGUUUUUCCUCUGAAGGAAUCCAGCCUCCAUCUUCUCUAGACAUCCUGCUGCAUACCCAGGAGAGGUCCACGUGAAGAACUGUGACCUCCUGCCAGAAGCCAGCACCAACUGGCCACCCUCUUGGAUGUAGACUCCCCAUCCCUGCCAAGCCCCAGAUGACUUGGUCCCUACCAACAUCUGACUGACUGUAAUACUGAGG
ensembl:lncRNA